rnacentral:rRNA from 1 species
UACGUAGGGGGCGAGCGUUGUCCGGAAUUACUGGGUGUAAAGGGCGUGUAGGCGGGGAUGCAAGUUAUCGGUAAAAACCCCAGGCUCAACUUGGGGCUUGCCGAUAAAACUGCAACUCUUGAGUGCAGGAGAGGGAAGUGGAAUUCCCGGAGUAGCGGUGAAAUGCGUAGAUACCGGGAGGAACACCAGUGGCGAAGGCGGCUUCCUGGCCUGUAACUGACGCUGAGGCGCGAAAGCUGGGGGAGCGAAC